rnacentral:rRNA from 1 species
CGAAUGCUGACAUAAGUAACGAUAAAGCGGGUGAAAAGCCCGCUCGCCGGAAGACCAAGGGUUCCUGUCCAACGUUAAUCGGGGCAGGGUGAGUCGACCCCUAAGGCGAGGCCGAAAGGCGUAGUCGAUGGGAAACAGGUUAAUAUUCCUGUACUUGGUGUUACUGCGAAGGGGGGACGGAGAAGGCUAUGUUGGCCGGGCGACGGUUGUCCCGGUUUAAGCGUGUAGGCUGGUUUUCCAGGCAAAUCCGGAAAACUAAGGCUGAGGCGUGAUGACGAGGCACUACGGUGCUGAAGCAACAAAUGCCCUGCUUCCAGGAAAAGCCUCUAAGCAUCAGGUAACAUCAAAUCGUACCCCAAACCGACACAGGUGGUCAGGUAGAGAAUACCAAGGCGCUUGAGAGAACUCGGGUGAAGGAACUAGGCAAAAUGGUGCCGUAACUUCGGGAGAAGGCACGCUGAUAUGUAGGUGAAGUCCCUCGCGGAUGGAGCUGAAAUCAGUCGAAGAUACCAGCUGGCUGCAACUGUUUAUUAAAAACACAGCACUGUGCAAACACGAAAGUGGACGUAUACGGUGUGACGCCUGCCCGGUGCCGGAAGGUUAAUUGAUGGGGU